GAUGAACGCUGGCGGCGUGCCUAAUACAUGCAAGUCGAGCGAACGGACGAGAAGCUUGCUUCUCUGAUGUUAGCGGCGGACGGGUGAGUAACACGCGGAUAACCUACCUAUAAGACUGGGAUAACUUCGGGAAACCGGAGCUAAUACCGGAUAAUAUUUUGAACCGCAUGGUUCAAAAGUGAAAGACGGUCUUGCUGUCACUUAUAGAUGGAUCCGCGCUGCAUUAGCUAGUUGGUAAGGUAACGGCUUACCAAGGCAACGAUGCAUAGCUGACCUGAGAGGGUGAUCGGCCACACUGGAACUGAGACACGGUCCAGACUCCUACGGGAGGCAGCAGUAGGGAAUCUUCCGCAAUGGGCGAAAGCCUGACGGAGCAACGCCGCGUGAGUGAUGAAGGUCUUCGGAUCGUAAAACUCUGUUAUUAGGGAAGAACAUAUGUGUAAGUAACUGUGCACAUCUUGACGGUACCUAAUCAGAAAGCCACGGCUAACUACGUG
rnacentral:rRNA from 1 species